GGAGUUAGCCGGUGCUUCUUCUGUGAGUGAUGUCCUUCCUGCCGGUUAUUGACCCGCAGGCCUUCUUCCUCACUGAAAGUGCUUUACAACCCGAAGGCCUUCUUCACACACGCGGCAUGGCUGGAUCAGGGUUGCCCCCAUUGUCCAAUAUUCCCCACUGCUGCCUCCCGUAGGAGUCUGGGCCGUGUCUCAGUCCCAGUGUGGCUGAUCAUCCUCUCAGACCAGCUACGGAUCGUCGCCUUGGUGAGCCGUUACCUCACCAACCAGCUAAUCCGACAUAGGCUCAUCCGAUAGCGCGAGGCCCGAAGGUCCCCCGCUUUCCCCCGUAGGGCGUAUGCGGUAUUAGCCUGGGUUUCCCCAGGUUAUCCCCCACUACCGGGCAGAUUCCUAUGCAUUACUCACCCGUCCGCCGCUCGCCACCAGGGAGCAAGCUCCCCGUGCUGCCGCUCGACUUGCAUGUGUUAGGCCUGCCGCCAGCGUUCAAUCUGAGCCAUAAUCAAACUCUGA
rnacentral:rRNA from 1 species